CUAAAUCGUGACGGCGCACAAGAAAUCCCCAAUUUACUUAUAAAGGACAAGAAGUAACAGGGACAUAUAAACAGGACAGAAAAAAAUCAGAAAAAAAUUACACACAAUCUUCAAGUUGAGACUCUGGAGGUCACUUAUCUAAACUUCCAGGCAGGCUGGAAUCUUCAGACAUUUCUGAGAUCCACCCCCUCGAAUACUGUCAGAGCCCACCACAAUCUGACAAAGAGCAGAUGCUCAGUAAAUACUUGCUGCCUGAAAGAAUGAAAAAAAA